AUUGAACGCUGGCGGCAUGCCUUACACAUGCAAGUCGAACGGCAGCACGGGGCAACCUGGUGGCGAGUGGCGAACGGGUGAGUAAUGCAUCGGAACGUACCUUUCAGUGGGGGAUAACGUAGCGAAAGUUACGCUAAUACCGCAUAUUCUGCGAGCAGGAAAGCAGGGGAUCGCGAGACCUUGCGCUGAUUGAGCGGCCGGUGUCAGAUUAGCUAGUUGGUGAGGUAAAGGCUCACCAAGGCGACGAUCUGUAGCGGGUCUGAGAGGAUGAUCCGCCACACUGGAACUGAGACACGGUCCAGACGCCUACGGGAGGCAGCAGUUGGGAAGUUUGGACAAUGGGGGCAACCCUGAUCCAGCCAUGCCGCGUGAGUGAAGAAGGCCUUCGGGUUGUAAAGCUCUUUCGGCCGGGAAGAAAUCGCACGGGCUAAUACCCUGUGUGGGUGGCGGUACCGGAAUAAGAAGCACCGGCUAACUACGUGCCAGCCGCCGCAGUAACAC
rnacentral:rRNA from 1 species